rnacentral:rRNA from 1 species
GAUGAACGCUGGCGGCGUGCCUAAUACAUGCAAGUCGAGCGAACAGAUAAGGAGCUUGCUCCUUUGACGUUAGCGGCGGACGGGUGAGUAACACGUGGGUAACCUACCUAUAAGACUGGGAUAACUUCGGGAAACCGGAGCUGAUACCGGAUAACAUUUGGAACCGCAUGGUUCUAAAGUGAAAGAUGGUUUUGCUAUCACUUAUAGAUGGACCCGCGCCGUAUUAGCUAGUUGGUAAGGUAACGGCUUACCAAGGCAACGAUACGUAGCCGACCUGAGAGGGUGAUCGGCCACACUGGAACUGAGACACGGUCCAGACUCCUACGGGAGGCAGCAGUAGGGAAUCUUCCGCAAUGGGCGAAAGCCUGACGGAGCAACGCCGCGUGAGUGAUGAAGGGUUUCGGCUCGUAAAACUCUGUUAUUAGGGAAGAACAAAUGUGUAAGUAACUGUGCACGUCUUGACGGUACCUAAUCAGAAAGCCACGGCUAACUACGUG